AUACGAAGGGGGCUAGCGUUGUUCGGAAUUACUGGGCGUAAAGCGCGCGUAGGCGGACUGAUCAGUUGGGGGUGAAAUCCCAGGGCUUAACCCUGGAACUGCCUCCAAUACUGUCAGUCUUGAGUUCGGGAGAGGUGAGUGGGAUUCCUAGUGUAGAGGUGAAAUUCGUAGAUAUUAGGAAGAACACCAGUGGCGAAGGCGGCUCACUGGCCCGAUACUGACGCUGAGGCGCGAAAGCGUGGGGAGCAAACAGGAUUAGAAACCCUAGUAGUCC
rnacentral:rRNA from 1 species